rnacentral:tRNA from 1 species
GGGCGCUUAGCUCAGUUGGUCAGAGCGCUGCCUUCACACGGCAGAGGUCGGCAGUUCAAGUCUGCCAGCGCCCA